GGAGAAGUCAGGUAUAAUUCCUAUUAUUGAUCCACUAUAGAAACAUAAGGAGAUUUUUCUCCAAUAUCCACUGUGAGGACCUGAUGGAGUUCCUAAAGCAAGAAGGAGAGAAAAAGAAAAUCAGCCUGAAGUAUAUGUCGGCAAGAAUCCUUAAUGUCCGUUUCAAAAGUCACAGAUUACAGUUUAAAAUGGAAAUCCCUUUUGAACAAAGAAGGAAAGGUUAUGAGAAAAUACAGUUUGACUUUAUUGAUGAACAAGCCAGCUCUGAUUGCAUCAGUCCUGUAGCUCCCCCACAUGCACCACUUGGAUAUUGCCUAAACCUCUGGAAAUGCAAGAGAGGAGCUUCAGCCAUAGCUCUUCCUGCUGCUGCUGCUAAGAGAACCCAUCUUGACAAGCAUCACACCCAACCUCUGUUUUUCUCAUUUAACAUACUUUAUAGACUGCUCGUCAGGUGGCCUCUCUGUGGUUUGCUCAGCUAAUCCUAGAAACAUGUAAGAGUCAUACAGAUUAUAAUUUAAGAAAAGUAAAUAAAGUCAAUUGACCACUGAUUGUUCUUUCUUCUUAUCCCAGUAUCUAGUAAGAGCAUCCAAGUAUAAUGAUUGUGAACUCAAAUAAUUUGUUUCACUGCAAUUUAUCUUUGCUAGUAAUAAAGUUAGUGGUUUCAGCUUUAGUCUAUCUCUCUCUCUCUCUCUCUCUCUCUCUUUCUCUCUUUCUCCUUCGCCCCAACUCCAUGCCUAUCCCUCUAGCACAGGGCACUUCCAUCAAAGACACAUAGUAAUUAUGAGGUUUUAGUGCUAUGGUUGAUUUUCUUUCAUUCCUUAUCCUUUGGUAAAUGAGGGAAGGGAGGAAAGGAAUGAGAGGAACAGAAGCAGACUUCUUAUAGAGCAAAAUCUACAGUUUUGUUCUAAAAAGUGCCAAUGUAAAGAUCACAGCACUGAUUUUCAUAAGCAGAAUCAUUUCCCUAAUAGCUAUUACUCAUAGCAGGGUUUGUAUUUUAUAUUCUAGUUUUUCCCAAGUGGCAGUCUAACUCCUGCCAACACCCAUACCCUUCUGCUUGGGUAACAAAUAAUAUUAACUUGUUUAAAAUGUUUUUGCUGUUAGAUUGUUAAGAGGCAUGCAAUCAUCCACCA
rnacentral:lncRNA from 10 species